GGCCCCGUCGUCUAGCGGUUAGGACACGGCCCUUUCAAGGCCGGGACCGGAGUUCGAUUCUCCGCGGGGUCA
rnacentral:tRNA from 1 species